rnacentral:rRNA from 1 species
GAUGAACGCUGGCGGCGUGCCUAAUACAUGCAAGUCGAGCGAACGGACGAGAAGCUUGCUUUUCUGAUGUUAGCGGCGGACGGGUGAGUAACACGUGGAUAACCUACCUAUAAGACUGGGAUAACUUCGGGAAACCGGAGCUAAUACCGGAUAAUAUUUUGAACCGCAUGGUUCAAAAGUGAAAGACGGUCUUGCUGUCACUUAUAGAUGGAUCCGCGCUGCAUUAGCUAGUUGGUAAGGUAACGGCUUACCAAGGCAACGAUGCAUAGCCGACCUGAGAGGGUGAGCGGCCACACUGGAACUGAGACACGGUCCAGACUCCUACGGGAGGCAGCAGUAGGGAAUCUUCCGCAAUGGGCGAAAGCCUGACGGAGCAACGCCGCGUGAGUGAUGAAGGUCUUCGGAUCAUAAAACUCUGUUAUUAGGGAAGAACAUAUGUGUAAGUAACUGUGCACAUCUUGACGGUACCUAAUCAGAAAGCCACGGCUAACUACGUG